rnacentral:rRNA from 1 species
GACGAACGCUGGCGGCGUGCUUAACACAUGCAAGUCGAACGGUAAGGCCCUUCGGGGUACACGAGUGGCGAACGGGUGAGUAACACGUGGGUGAUCUGCCCUGCACUUCGGGAUAAGCCUGGGAAACUGGGUCUAAUACCGGAUAGGACCACUGCCUGCACGGGCGGUGGUGGAAAGCUUUUGCGGUGUGGGAUGGGCCCGCGGCCUAUCAGCUUGUUGGUGGGGUGAUGGCCGACCAAGGCGACGACGGGUAGCCGGCCUGGGAGGGUGACCGGCCACAAUGGGACUGAGAUACGGCCCAGACUCCUACGGGAGGCAGCAGUGGGGAAUAUUGCACAAUGGGCGCAAGCCUGACGCAGCGACGCCGCGUGAGGGAUGACGGCCUUCGGGUUGUAAACCUCUUUCAGCGCCGACGAAGCGCAAGUGACGGUAGGUGCAGAAGAAGGACCGGCCAACUACGUGCCAGCAGCCGCCGUAA